rnacentral:rRNA from 1 species
GAGCUUAACUUAGGAAUUGCAUUCGAUACUGGAAAGCUAGAGUAUGGGAGAGGAUGGUAGAAUUCCAGGUGUAGCGGUGAAAUGCGUAGAGAUCUGGAGGAAUACCGAUGGCGAAGGCAGCCAUCUGGCCUAAUACUGACGUUGAGGUACGAAAGCAUGGGGAGCAAACAGGAUUAGAUACCCUGGUAGUCCAUGCCGUAAACGAUGUCUACUAGCCGUUGGGGCCUUUGAGGCUUUAGUGGCGCAGCUAACGCGAUAAGUAGACCGCCUGGGGAGUACGGUCGCAAGACUAAAACUCAAAUGAAUUGACGGGGGCCCGCACAAGCGGUGGAGCAUGUGGUUUAAUUCGAUGCAACGCGAAGAACCUUACCUGGCCUUGACAUACUAAGAACUUUCCAGAGAUGGAUUGGUGCCUUCGGGAACUUAGAUACAGGUGCUGCAUGGCUGUCGUCAGCUCGUGUCGUGAGAUGUUGGGUUAAGUCCCGCAACGAGCGCAACCCUUUUCCUUAUUUGCCAGCGGGUCAUGCCGGGAACUUUAAGGAUACUGCCAGUGACAAACUGGAGGAAGGCGGGGACGACGUCAAGUCAUCAUGGCCCUUACGGCCAGGGCUACACACGUGCUACAA